rnacentral:rRNA from 1 species
GACGAACGCUGGCGGCGUGCUUAACACAUGCAAGUCGAACGGAAAGGCCCCUUUGGGGGUACUCGAGUGGCGAACGGGUGAGUAACACGUGAGUAACCUGCCCUUGACUUCGGGAUAACUUCAGGAAACUGGGGCUAAUACCGGAUAGGAAUCCUUGCUGCAUGGUGGGGGUUGGAAAGCUUCGGCGGUUUUGGAUGGACUCGCGGCUUAUCAGCUUGUUGGUGGGGAAGUGGCUUACCAAGGCUUUGACGGGUAGCCGGCCUGAGAGGGCGACCGGCCACAUUGGGACUGAGAUACGGCCCAGACUCCUACGGGAGGCAGCAGUGGGGAAUAUUGCACAAUGGGCGGAAGCCUGAUGCAGCAACGCCGCGUGCGGGAUGACGGCCUUCGGGUUGUAAACCGCUUUCAGCAGGGGCGAAGCUUGUGGUGACGGUACCUGCAGAAGAAGCACCGGCUAACUACGUG